rnacentral:rRNA from 1 species
UACGUAGGGGCCGAGCGUUGUCCGGAGUUAUUGGGCGUAAAGCGCGCGCAGGCGGCCUCGCGCGCCCGACGUGAAAGCCCCCGGCUUAACCGGGGAGGGUCGUUGGGGACGGCGGGGCUUGAGGGCGGGAGAGGUCGGUGGAAUUCCCGGUGUAGUGGUGAAAUGCGUAGAGAUCGGGAGGAACACCUGUGGCGAAGGCGGCCGACUGGGCCGACCCUGACGCUGAGGCGCGAAAGCGUCGGGAGCAAACAGG